rnacentral:rRNA from 1 species
AUUGAACGCUGGCGGCAUGCCUUACACAUGCAAGUCGAACGGCAGCACGGGAGCAAUCCUGGUGGCGAGUGGCGAACGGGUGAGUAAUAUAUCGGAACGUGCCCAGUCGUGGGGGAUAACGUAGCGAAAGCUACGCUAAUACCGCAUACGAUCUAUGGAUGAAAGCGGGGGAUCGCAAGACCUCGCGCGAUUGGAGCGGCCGAUAUCAGAUUAGGUAGUUGGUGAGGUAAAGGCUCACCAAGCCGACGAUCUGUAGCUGGUCUGAGAGGACGACCAGCCACACUGGGACUGAGACACGGCCCAGACUCCUACGGGAGGCAGCAGUGGGGAAUUUUGGACAAUGGGCGAAAGCCUGAUCCAGCCAUGCCGCGUGCAGGAUGAAGGCCU